GUGCGGUAGGGGAGAUUGGAAUUCCUGGUGUAGCGGUGGAAUGCGCAGAUAUCAGGAGGAACACCGAUGGCGAAGGCAGAUCUCUGGGCCGUAACUGACGCUGAGGAGCGAAAGGGUGGGGAGCAAACAGGCUUAGAUACCCUGGUAGUCCACCCCCGUAAACGUUGNGAACUAGUUGUGGGGCCAUUCCACGGAUUCCGUGCGCAGCUAACGCAUUAAGUUCCCCGCCUGGGGAGUACGGCCGUAAGGCUAAAACUCAGGGAUUGACGG
rnacentral:rRNA from 1 species